CAACAACAUUAAUAACCUGACCAGUAAUUACACAUUAGACUCAUAAAGCCUGAGGUCUUCUCUCCCUGAGGACAACAACAUUAAUAACCUGACCAGUAAUUACACAUUAGACUCAUAAAGCCUGAGGUCUUCUCUCCCUGAGGACAACAACAUUAAUAACCUGACCAGUAAUUACACAUUAGACUCAUAAAGCCUGAGGUCUUCUCUCCCUGAGGACAACAACAUUAAUAACCUGACCAGUAAUUACACAUUAGACUCAUAAAGCCUGAGGUCUUCUCUCCCUGAGGACAACAACAUUAAUAACCUGACCAGUAAUUACACAUUAGAC